UAGCAGGGAUAUAGUAUUUUUAUAUACUAGAGGCUCUUUGAAAAUCCUUCCUCUAGUGACCAGUAAACCUCUGACAGCUUCAGGGAGAAUAGGGAACUGAUGGGGAGGCAAGAUUUCAAGUCGCCUGGAUGGUUACAUCUAAAGGAAUAGAACCCAACUGCUAAAACAGAAAUGGAGAGCUUUGUGUAGGAUUGCUGAAGAAGCCUCGAUUGGAUUUGUAUAUGUUAAUAUUCAUGAAAAACUAUUGGACUAAGCUCUUAAGACAGCCAGCAUUUGAUUCGAGGACCAGUUCUACAGGAAUUAGUUCUUGCAUUUAACGGAAGAUUGCUUUUAAUAAAUUUACUUUUUUCCUCCAAAGGGGAAGGAGAGAAAUCAUGUGAAAAGCAAUAAAAAAAAGAUGGCCAAAUGAUGUAUUUCCUAGAAUGAAUUAUGUGUGAGAAUGUAUAUGUGAACAUGGCUUAUUUCCACUGCUAAAAAUGUUGGUUAUUGGACAAAGAUCUCAUAUUUAGAGCAUCAACAGUCAGCAGGGAAGAGUAUGGUGCCUCUCAAGGACUUGGGACAUCCACUAUGUCUGAAGGGCCCUGACUCUAUGAGGUUAUGUUCAAGGGGAUUUCACAAGACAUAGGAGCUUUGCAGUAGAAAUGGCAGCACUCCCAAAAUGAGACAUGCCUUCCUUUGACUCUUCAGUGUCCUUCUGAUUGGUAUCUCAUAACAUACAGAGGUGAUAUACAGAUUAAUAUUCUGGAUUUCAAAGUAUCCAGAGACAAGUGCCGUGGAUGUAUGCCAUAAUCUUAGAGGUGGGCUUCUAAAGCAAUCACAACAUCAUGUGCAGAGUCAAGAGCAUUUUAGAGAAAUGCCUGAGGGAGGCAAGCCUAUAUU